AUCCAGCUGAUGAGUCCCAAAUAGGACUAAAAGCGGGUCUUGGAU
rnacentral:hammerhead_ribozyme from 1 species